UUUCUUUAUUUUUUGUUGUUGUUGUUGAAAUUUAAAGUUUUUCUCAAAGAUUUUUGCCAUUCAAAUGAAUGAAGGUUAAUCCACAUCUCAGUGUGGAUUAACCUUCAUUGCAGCUGCCUAUACACAGGCGAUGGAUAUUAAGUUACUAAUACCUUCUCUGCGCUCUGUGUUGUUUACACACACAAUCAGACAAACAGACAAACACACACUUCAAGUAUUUACUUAUGUAAAGGAAGAAAUGAAUAAAUGAUUGUGGGACACACAAUUAUCUUUUGUAAUGUAAGUUGAAUCAAAUUAACAAAAGAGUAAAAUUUAAAAAACUUAAAAUCUAAGAUAUUUUGAACAAUUUGGUCGGCAUCAAAAUCCGGUAAGAUCUGGUAUCUGGAGCACCAGACCAAGUCAUCAAGGCUAUCUUGAAGACCCACAAGAAGGAGGAGGCCAUUGAUACUGGUGACGACACUCCUGAGAUGAAGGAGAUCUGCAUAUGGAGGCAACAGGGCAAGAGGAGGAAGCUGCUGGAGAAACUACAGAAGAUGGAGGAGAGGAUAAAGCGCAAAAGGAAGAAGCGGAGGGAGAGGAAAGAUCAAGAGGAGGCAGAGGAAGACGAUGAGAAGAAAGCUGAUCUCUUCCUAGUGACUGGAUUCUUCGUGGGGUAUGGUGACCUGAACAUGGCUGUUCUUUAAAGUGCAAAUUAGACUUUAAACAUAAAUUAGAAAAAUAAGAUGUAUACAGAUAAUAACAGUAAUGUUAGGCCACACGAUUUAAUAUAAUCCAGCUUAACCAAACAAUGUUAUUUGACUGAAUCUCAAAUUGAAUCCAAAGCAUUAUUAUUAAUAUUAUUAGUUGUAACUAGUCAUUAGCAAUAUAAUCAAUUUUGUCUUUAUUACUUGAUAUUUAAUAUUUACUUAAUAUUUAAAUAAAAAGUCUAAUAUAAUGUAAUAUAAUAUAACUGAAGAAAAACAAAUCACUCAAUGUAAUUCUUUAGGUUUAACUAGCUGAUAAAUCAUUUCAAAGUAGGAUGAAAGUAUUUAAAAAUUAUUUCUAAAACAGUAAUUGUAAUACAGAAUAAAGUUAUUUGUCCUCCUACAAGGGGGGUGGUGGCGGGUUAAAUAAAAUAAAAUAACAUUUUAAAAAGUAAUUCAAAUAACUGAAGGUCAUGGUUAAGGUUAAGGUAGUAGGUAGGUAGGUUAAGGUUCCACAUACACAAUUUACAUACAGACUGGCUAGUUUCAUAUAGCAGUGUUCAAGACCAGACAUCACAAAGUGUUUAACAAUAAAAGAACAGAAAACAAGAGAGAGAGAAAAAAAAACAAAAAAACACAAAAACAGAACAAAAUUUUAAAAAGCGAGUCUAAACCAGAGGUUAAAGUAGUUAGAAGAAGAAAA